rnacentral:rRNA from 1 species
GCGUUGUUCGGAAUUACUGGGCGUAAAGGGCGCGUAGGCGGCCUUCUAAGUCGAACGUGAAAUCCCUGGGCUCAACCCAGGAACUGCGUCCGAUACUGGAAGGCUUGAAUCCGGGAGAGGGAUGCGGAAUUCCAGGUGUAGCGGUGAAAUGCGUAGAUAUCUGGAGGAACACCGGUGGCGAAGGCGGCAUCCUGGACCGACACUGACACUGAGGAGCGAAAGCCAGGGGAGCAAACGGG